rnacentral:lncRNA from 1 species
CCCCCAGCCAGCUUCACAUACUCAUUAUUAACCUGUCUCUCUCUGCAAUUAGGGCUCCACAUUUAAAACUCCUCUGACAGAGGCAUAACAAACCAACAUUAAGCUCGUUUAUUGUUAUUGCUCACUCAAAAUUUCUGCUUUCCAGCUAAAACACCAGCCUGGAUUCUCAGCCUCAGAAGAGCUAGACCCAAGGUCAGGAUCCCUAAUCUCAAAACCUCCUUUAACUUUACAAUCAACAAAUCCAGCAUUUGUGAAUGUUACAGAUUAUUUUCCAAGCUGUGGAGGGAGAUUUCUUUCAUAAUUGGAGAACAAGGAGAAGAAAACCUCGCACGGGAUUUGCCACCAACCUAAAUUUCCUAUUCCUCCCCCUCCGAGCAGGACACACACCUCCGUCCUCUCCCACUGUCCCACACCUUGUACUGCAGCAAACCAGUGCCUGCUGUACGUAACGGGCUAUUUAUAGGAAAGCCCCCUGUGGGUGGGGUCUGUUGUGACUUAGUGGGGUCUAUUGUAACUUAGUGGGGUCUGUCAUGACAGAGUGGGCCUAACACAUACACACACAUACACAGUUACAUGGAGGGUGGCCACCAAGAUGUGCUAGCUUUAACAGGGCCCAGCACAGCUCACUGCCGCUGGAGCUGGAGGAAAACAAGGAUGCCUUUUGGCGCUUGCUCUCUGCGUGAUCUCAGAGCGGUGAAGAUGCCGCGGGAGACACAGCCCGUGUGGAGCGUGCGAGGAGGGCUUUCUACCAGGCACCAUUCAGCCACAGCCCAUUGGUCCAGACAGGAGCGAUGCUUCUGGUUUCAGCAGGAAACAGGGGGGAGAAGACACCACACAAAUGCACAGGGCUCAACCUCCCCUCCAUGCAACCUGGCACAAGUUCUUGCGGAGAUGGGCUGUCCUGCACCAGCUGAAAACCCAAACCAUGUUGCAGGUGGCGUGAGCUUUCUCUUCUCUCAAGACAACACCAUUGCUCGAUGAUCACAAGUUGAUUGGAAAUGGAAACAAAUCCACCUGGAAAAAAAAAAUCAAACUUUUUUCCACCUCACGUGCUUUGAAACUCUCCCCUUUUCUAUGAUUUUCAUCAUUAAUUGAAGUUAUUGUUAUUUUAGGAAACCUUUUGAAACGUGCCUUUUGGUGAGAACAUGUAGGGUCUGGCCAAUAAAAGAAUUACUACCAGGAUUUCA